GACGAACGCUGGCGGCGUGCUUAACACAUGCAAGUCGAACGGAAAGGCCCUGCUUUUGUGGGGUGCUCGAGUGGCGAACGGGUGAGUAACACGUGAGUAACCUGCCCUUGACUUUGGGAUAACUUCAGGAAACUGGGGCUAAUACCGGAUAGGAGCUCCUGCUGCAUGGUGGGGUUUGGAAAGUUUCGGCGGUUGGGGAUGGACUCGCGGCUUAUCAGCUUGUGGGUGGGGUAGUGGCUUACCAAGGCUUUGACGGGUAGCCGGCCUGAGAGGGUGACCGGCCACCUUGGGCCUGAGAUACGGCCCAGACUCCUACGGGAGGCAGCAGUGGGGAAUAUUGCACAAUGGGCGGAAGCCUGAUGCAGCAACGCCGCGUGCGGGAUGACGGCCUUCGGGUUGUAAACCGCUUUCGCCUGUGACGAAGCGUGAGUGACGGUAAUGGGUAAAGAAGCACCGGCUAACUACGUG
rnacentral:rRNA from 1 species